AGGUAUAUUAGGAAUUUGGGGUCAAACAAAUUCCUUCACAAUAGUUUUUAUCAACAAACGAUUAAUCAAUAACAUAUCAAACUCCAAAAAAAAGUCCUAAAAAAAUCUCCGUGCAGUCUCCGAGAUAUCACUGUUUAAAGUGAAGUCAAUUCUAAGAAUUAGUGAUGGUACCGUUACUACACCAUACAACCGUAUUUUACCGGAACCGGUGUAGAUGUAAACAAUGUGCCCUGAGCAGCGUUCAUUAUUUAGAUCACUUUCUUGGCUAUUUCCAGCUAUAAGCAGCAUUUUCUAGGGGGAGAUGUUUGUUUAUCAAAAUCACGUCUGCUAUUAUGAGCUUGCUGGUUUUUCAGCUUCAUAUAGAUAAAAUAAAGAAUCAUGUCUGCUGUUAUCGUCAAUUAUUUACCUGUGUGUGAUGUCAUGAGACAACUGUGCUUUCCCUGCAUAUGAGGAAACAACUGUAUAUAACAAAAAAUAAGCCUGGAAGUAACCAGUAUAGACACAACUAAAAAGGUGUGUGUCAUCUGUGGAGAGCAUGAUGACCGUCAAGUUUCAAAACUUGGAGAAAAGGGAUGUCAAGGACUUUCAUUAGCUGCAAAAAACUAUAAAGACCAGAUUAUCGUGUUUGUUCCGGGACAAUAUGUGCAUAUCGACUGCCGUAAGACAUAUUGCCACCCAAACCAAACCAGUAGUGGAGGGAAAUCAACAUCAAACUUAAUGUCAUGUCCCAAAACCAGGCAAUCAACAAAUGGAAAUUCGUUUGACUUUGGAACAAAAUGCUUAUUUUGUGGUUCUGAUGCUAAAUUUAGAAAUGGAAAAAGAGGCAUUGACGUCCAUCCUGUUAUGACUCUAGAAUAUGAGUUGACUAUUAGGGAGUCAUGUAAAUCUAGGUGUGAUGAAUGGGGUGCUACUAUUCUUGGGCGACAUGAGUCCACAAAUGACCUUCCUGCUGUAGAAGCACGUUACCACCAAGCUUGUUCUGCUAAUUUCAGAUCAGGUUAUAAUGUACCAAAAUUGUAUAUGAAUGAGAAUGUCACGCCUAAAAAGGGUCGGCCAAUUAAUACUUCUUCUGAUCAAGCAUUUCUUCAGUUAAUGAAUUAUUUUGAAGAGCAUGAAUCUGAUCAAAUGACAGUGAAUGACCUUUGUGAGAAAAUGAACAAAUUGUGUGGUGAAUCUUCUUAUAGUAACGUAUAUAUGAAGAAGAAAAUUCUAGAACAUUUUGAUAAUAAUGUUGUUAUAACUGAACUUAAUGGAAAACAAAAUGUUGUUAUAUUUAAAACUACUGCCCAUUCUAUAUUGCAUUUAUUUUACAAAAGAAGUAAUGCAAAUGAUAAGGAUAUGGGAUAUUACUGAAACACAAAAAAUGCUGGGGUCUGAUAUUAGUUACAUUUUACCAUUUAUACAUGCAUUUACAGGUUGUGACACCACAUCGAGGAUAUAUGGUAUUGGAAAGGGUGUUGUUCUGAAAAAAGCUUUGAAUGAUUCGAACUUCAAAAACCAAGCAAAAGUUUUUAUGAACACUACUUCACAUUCUACAAUUGAGGAAGCAGGAGAAAACGCAUUCAAAUGUGUUUACAACGGAAACCAGAUUGAGGAUUUGGACGCUCUUCGAUUUAGAAAAUUUGUGCAAAAGGUUAACACAAGUAACAAUGUGGUACAAGUUGAAACUCUUCCUUCAACUAAGGCGGCAGCAAGGUUUCAUAGCUUUAGAACAUAUUUACAAGUCCAAACCUGGGUCGGUAGUGAACUAAAUCCAUUAGAGUGGGGCUGGAGAAAAGAGAAUGACGAGUUGACACCUGUAAAGUGUAAUAUGAUAGCAGCGCCUGAGCGGUUAUUAAAUGUCAUACGAUGUAACUGUAAAACCGGUUGUGAUACCAAAAGAUGUAGCUGUCGGAAACAUGGUUUAAAAUGCACGGGUUGUUGUGGUGAAUGCAAAGGAACAAGUUGUAGUAACGUACAGUAAAUUAUUGAAGAGCUGGAUAUCUAGAAUUAAAAAAAAAUCAGAUAUCUUUCAAUGUAAAUGCAAUUGGUAAAGUGUUUAACAUAAACCAUCAAAUGUUUUGUAACUUGACAUAAGCAAAGCAUAGUUGCUCAGCUAGUAGUGUUAAUUGUUACGUAUCAUCCUUUUUUUAAAUUCAAAUCAAUAAUGAGAUGAGAUUGUAUAUUUCUAACACACUUUAGGUGUUAAAUGUUUAUAUAUAUAUCGUAUUAUAUUAUAUAUAAUAUAAUAUUAUACCAAAACUGUAAUGUAGCUUGAAUAUUGCAAUUAACAAAGAAUUAUUGUUAAGUUGUUAAUGCUAGUUGUUAUGUUUUAAUAAUUCAAUAAGCAUAUUGAAAAUGCAGAAAUAUCUUGAUUAUAAAAAAACUUCAUCGAAUUAACGCAAAUUUCGAUUUUUUAGUCAAUUUGUCAUAAUAUGUUGAAUGAAAUAUUUUCAUGUUAACAUUAAGCUAAAUCAACUGUCAUACAUUUAAAGUUCUCUUUCAUGCAAAGUCUUAGAAUGAACUAUGAUUGAUUAGUAUAAUUGCUAGCGUUGAAACGAUAAGGGUUCAUGCUUUAUCACAUGUUAUUUCAUCAAAUUACUUACAAAAUGACUAAAAAAUGUAAUUUCUGAAAAAAAUAUCACUUAUUCAAGAUAGAUAAUUUAAAAAUGUUACAUAUAUAUCAUAUUCCACCAUAAAAUGAUAAAUUAACAUUGAAAUAAAUGGAAAAUGUAUGA